AAGGAGCUCACAGUCGAAUG
rnacentral:miRNA from 1 species